GAUGAAUGCUGGCGGCGUGCCUAACACAUGCAAGUCGAGCGGCAGCGAGGGGUGCUUGCACCCUGUCGGCGAGCGGCGAACGGCUGAGUAACGCGUAGGAAUUUGCCCCAAAGUGAGGAAUAACUGCCCGAAAGGGUAGCUAAUGCCGCAUAUGGUCUUCGGAUUAAAGGAUUUAUCCGCUUUGGGAGAUGCCUGCGUUGGAUUAGGUUGUUGGUAGGGUAAUGGCCUACCAAGCCGACGAUCCAUAGCUGGUCUGAGAGGAUGAUCAGCCAGACUGGAACUGAGACACGGUCCAGACUCCUACGGGAGGCAGCAGUGAGGAAUCUUCCACAAUGGGCGAAAGCCUGAUGGAGCAACGCCGCGUGAAGGAUGAAGGCCUUCGGGUUGUAAACUUCUUUUAUGAGUGAAGAAUAUGACGGUAACUCAUGAAUAAGCACCGGCUAACUACGUG
rnacentral:rRNA from 1 species